UGUGUGGUGACGCCGGGCGAUCUGGGCUAGGAUGGCCGGGUCGAAAGACGAUGGCGCUGAAACUCAACGCGGACUGCGGGCAGACCCGGGGGCAGUACCCGGCGCCUCCACCCGAGCAGCUCCGAUGCGAGGUCUCAUCCGGUGAGAUCUCAUUCCGUGACACGGACAUUUAUUCCGUCGACGGAUAGUGUCGAGCUGCUCCGGCGGGGGCGAAACAGGAUCGAUGGCCGCGAAGAAGUGUUGAAUUGUUCCCGGCAUGAUACCGCCGUUAUCGGGUCAAAACCUAAAUGCAAACGAUAACGUUCGCAUGAACGAAGUGCGCCUCGCGGCGUAACCGUUCGGGGUAGGUCCACCUAGCAACAGAACGGCCAUGGCC
rnacentral:tmRNA from 1 species